CUAGGCUGUGAGGGAUGGACGUACUGUCUCUUUAGUACGGUGGCCGAGAGGUGCAAAACAAAACAAAUCAGAAAACAACGACAAAUCCAAAAACAAAAUAACAAUUCAGAGACACAGCAACAAAUCAGAAAACACAACGACAAAUUCGAAAACAAAAGAACAAAUGAAAAAACACAAAAUCAAUUCCGGAAACAAAACAACAAGUCAGAAAACACAAGUCAGUCGAAACGGAAAGGGUAGGUACUAUAUAUUCUUACCUGAUUGGUUGUGUAGACCAAGUCCCUUUUUCCUGAUUGGCUACUGUCCAACUGCGUAAUUAUUUCAAAACGAAAUGGAAGCCAUGCCAAAUGAAAGCCAACUAAUUUGCAAAUAUUUCGAGGAAGGACAUUCGUAUGUCGUGAUUUUGGACAUGUUGUCAACAUAUCACGACAUAAAGCUUAGCUUGCGCACUCUGAAAACACGCCUGCAUGAAGUAGGAAUGUUUAGAAGAAAAAACUACUCUCCUCUGAAUGAUGUUAGGAAAGCAAUCAGAACAGAGCUACGUGGACCGGGACGGUUAUUUGGUCAUCGGACAUUGUGGUUAGCACUUCAGCAGAAACACAAGCUACGUGUUAAACGUGAUGAUGUAUGUGGUUGCUGCGAGAACUUCACCCACCAGGGACAGAUUACAGGACACGCCGAAGAUUUGUUAGGCGGACGUAUCAUUCUAUGGGACCAAACUAUUUAUGGCAUGUGGAUGGUAGGGCUUUUCCAGACGUAUUAUGUGGCUUUCCAGUGGGCAUACCAACAACUAUCAUGCUGCUAUUGAGAAAAACUUAAUUCUCUGCAUACUGCGUCUUGGUGUUGUCCCUAUGAGAUUACGAACGGAUUGUGGGACAGCGAACGACACUGGCCGCCGUUACAACCAUACAGACUACGUAUGUAUGGUUCUUCAGUCAGCAUGGUGGCUCAUCUUUAGAAAAGGAAGGGUGCAGUUUUGGCUUGAACUCUUUGAGGACCUCAGAAAUGCAGGACACUUUAAUGGCAGCAAUGAAAACCAGUGCCUCCUUUGAUUCUGCUUUCAAAAUAUUCUGCAGACUGACUUGGACGAGUGUGUAGAGCUCUGGAACACGCACAGGAUUCGGCCCUUCAGACUCUCAUUAUGCCCUGGGGGCAUACCAAAUGAAUUGUACCAUCUACCACACAGGUGACCAAAGGUCCUGCUGUAUAGGAAUUGUAUUGCCCAAAAGUCGGAUCUAGCGACUGUGGCUUUGCAGUUGAAGAAAUGGAGUUAAGGGCUUUCCUUGAGUCAAGGCUCUCAACUGAAACAUUCAGGAGUAUCUAGAAUUUGUAAUGGAGCAAAAUCAAUUACAGUGGCCUGAGAACAGGAAAGAAGCACUGCAACUUUACUUCAGAAUGAAGGAAAUAACAGGUCUCUAAGUAUGAGAAUUCUGCAAAACAGAAGUACAAGCCACUGAGUUGGGAUGGGAUGAAAGUGUUCUUAGAAAAGAAAUACACGAAUGCAAAACUCAUAAUGCAUCAACUUAAAAAAAUGAAUAAAUUGUACUGGGAUAAUAUUAAUUCAAAAGCGCAAAAUAUGGUUGUAGAACAUGAACAACUAACUAACAUACUGUGGAUUUAAAAUUAUUUAAAUGCAUCCAAAACCUGGAGAAUUUUGAAUUCCAAAAUCCAUGCGUGUCACAAAAAGACUAAGAAUCUAAGACUGGUAACUUAAGUGUGUUUGCACGUGUAUUUGCCAUUGGGAAAGGUGAAGUGGCAAGAAACUCUAUGCAUGGUAGUGGUGAUAUUCCAGCAGGUGGAAGGGAUGUCAGGCCGGUGGUGAACAUCAACACGUUCUGCAGUGACACCUCAGUCUGGUGUUCAACAAGGAUGAAAAAAAAGUAUAUUGUUAUGGACUUAAACUAUUCAACACUGCUAGAAACAACAAAAAAGGAUCACCAUAGUUAUAGAUUUACACAAAGUCACAGAAAACAGAAUUUCUGUAUGCAAACCAAAAACAAACCUUCACAGUCGAGGAGAUAAUCUGACCAGAAACAAAGCAUCUUUGAUUCUUCUUGCCUCUGGUUACUUCCUGCUGGACUGAGUUCUGCUGUGAAGAGGUUUUCCAUGUCACUUGCUAUAAGCUUGUUCUCAAUGUGGCAGAGGACAGAAGACAGCACACCAGGAUGCUGCUGAAGUGCUGUUAGAAACUGCAGGGUGGCUAGUCCAUCUUUGAAUCUAGCAAAGCAGACAAAGAGUUAAGUGAUUAACUGAACUGUAUGAAAUGUAAUCAUAUUGUUCCAACAGUUAAUUGUUUAGAAUUGUUUAACAGUAUGUGGUCCAAAAUGCUUUGAGGACUGAUGAAAUUUUGACUAUUAUUUUUUACACUUUAUCACCAAAGUAUGUGGACACCCCCUUCUAAUUAAUGAGUUUGAUUACUCCAUUAUUUCCAGCGAAGACAUCAUAAUGCAACUCAAUACAAUAGCAUUGUGUGCUUUCAACUUUGUGGUAACAUUUUGGAGAGCCCUUUUCCCCUGUGCACAAAGUGAGGUCCAUAAAGAAAUCAUUCAGUGAGGCUGGUGUGGUGAACUUGACUGGCAUGGACAAAGCCCAGACUUUAACUCCAAUGAACAUCUAUGUUGGUUGCAUUCGGUGUUCAAACUCAUCCCAAAGUUGUUCAAUGGGCAUUCUUCACUUGGUGCACAGGGGCAUUGUCAUGCUGGAACAGAAAAUGACCUCACCAAACUGUUGGAUUAAAUUGAAUGAACACAAUUCUACAAAAUGUCACUAUAUGCUUUCGCAUUGAGAUUUGUCAUCACAGUAAUGAAUGAUUAGAAUAGCCAAACCUCUUAAUCAGAAGCAGUGUAGAACUGUCCACAUACUAGGAGUGUAAGGUUAUAGUCUUACCUUUCAAUAACUGAUUUCUGGGAAUCACAUACCACUUGACAUAUUCUUCCACAACUGUAUGUUUUUCAUAUGUUCACAUGUUGAAAGCACCCAGCAGUUUGAAGCAUGGUGCUUUUCUGCAUUAUUAGUUCUUGUAGUGACUCCAAAGUAACUGCAGACUGAAUCUGAACAAAUAAUCACAAGAAAUUAGUCAGUUGACAUGGUUUUGUUCCUUGCUAUACAAGUUUUCCAUCCUGAAAAUGAACUAAAUAAACUAAUUCAUUCAAAUACUUAACAUGGCUUUGUCAAGCACUUUGUACUGACAAUAAUUCUGAAAUGCUGGGGUAAUUUAUAUCCGAGUAACCUUUUCACAAAUCACCUCAUGGAUGUCUGUUAUCCUACCUCCAGUAGAACUUUCCCUACACCCUCAUUUGUG